rnacentral:rRNA from 1 species
GACGUAGGGCGCAAGCGUUGUCCGGAUUUAUUGGGCGUAAAGAGCUCGUAGGCGGCUUGCCACGUCUGCCGUGAAAACCAGCAGCUUAACUGUUGGCUUGCGGUUGAUACGGGUUGGCUGGAGUUCGGUAGGGGAGACUGGAAUUCCUGGUGUAGCGGUGAAAUGCGUAGAUAUUGGGAAGAACACCGGUGGCGAAGGCAGCCAUCUGGACCGACACUGACGCUGAGGCGCGAAAGCGUGGGGAGCAAACAGG